GACGAACGCUGGCGACGUGCUUAACACAUGCAAGUCGAGCGGAAAGGCCUCUUCGGGGGUACUCGAGCGGCGAACGGGUGAGUAACACGUGAGUAAUCUGCCCUUCACUCUGGGAUAGCCACCGGAAACGGUGAUUAAUACCGGAUACGACCAAUCACUGCAUGGGGUGUUGGUGGACACUUUGUGGGUGGGGGAUGUGCUCGCGGCCCAUCAGCUUGUUGGUGGGGUGAUGGCCUACCAAGGCGACGACGGGUAGCCGGCCUGAGAGGGCGACCGGCCACACUGGGACUGAGACACGGCCCAGACUCCUACGGGAGGCAGCAGUGGGGAAUAUCGCACAAUGGGCGGAAGCCUGAUGCAGCGACGCCGCGUGAGGGAUGACGGCCUUCGGGUUGUAAACCUCUUUCAGCAGGGACGAAGCGUAAGUGACGGUACCUGCAGAAGAAGCGCCGACCAACUACGUGCCAGCCGCCGCGGUAACAC
rnacentral:rRNA from 1 species